rnacentral:rRNA from 1 species
AGAGUUUGAUCCUGGCUCAGGACGAACGCUGGCGGCGUGCUUAACACAUGCAAGUCGAACGAUGAAGCCUUUCGGGGUGGAUUAGUGGCGAACGGGUGAGUAACACGUGGGCAAUCUGCCCUUCACUCUGGGACAAGCCCUGGAAACGGGGUCUAAUACCGGAUAAUACUUUCUCUCUCAUGGGGGAAGGUUAAAAGCUCCGGCGGUGAAGGAUGAGCCCGCGGCCUAUCAGCUAGUUGGUGGGGUAAUGGCCUACCAAGGCGACGACGGGUAGCCGGCCUGAGAGGGCGACCGGCCACACUGGGACUGAGACACGGCCCAGACUCCUACGGGAGGCAGCAGUGGGGAAUAUUGCACAAUGGGCGAAAGCCUGAUGCAGCGACGCCGCGUGAGGGAUGACGGCCUUCGGGUUGUAAACCUCUUUCAGCAGGGAAGAAGCGAAAGUG